UUUUAAUUAGCUGUCAGAACCCAGACUGCAAAUGAAUUCUUGAGAAGGCUGAAAUAAAAAGUCAACAAGUAGAAGUGCUGUGGUUUGGAGCAGCAUAGCCCUUUGGGUGCAGAGGGCUUGCAGGAAAUGCAAGUUAAGGCUCAACAUCAAUAGUUAGUAAAUAGCAAUCAUGCAAACCAGCAAACACCCCCGCUCAGCAGCAUUUAUUUUGGAGGAGUAAUUUAGCAGCUCUUAGGCAAGAGUCAAUAUUAAAAACUCUGCAGCCUGGCAAAAAGACCCCACUGGCUACAUGUGCUUUUUCAACCUUAUUUACUCUCUUUAGGUCCCAAGAGUGGAAAUUUCCCCUAGGUCUGAACUGAAAUGUAGCACUCCUAAGGGGGACAGAAUAAUUUGCUUGACUGUGAUUUCCCAGGAGAGCGAACCAGAUGUGCUAAAUAUUUGCCCUUCUCAGGUAUCGCCUCAUGGUAUAAGUAGAGUACUCCUUUAAAUUACAUUUAAAAGUGGGUUACGGGAUUCUCUAAGCACAGUCAACAGAAAGCAUUAAUUGUCACCUUUCCAAUGCAGCAUAUACCUUAACCGAAGUGCUCCAUUCUAAUUAGGGAGUUUCUGCAGAAAUCUGGAUGCCACGGGAGAAGGAAUAAGUUCUACGAUUUUUAAACUAGACUGAUGCCAGCUCCAGUUAAUGAAGAGAAACUUCAUAUAAGCCAAGCAAUAAUUCCACAAGCAACAGGUGGUGGAAGCUCCCUUGAUAGGCUGAAACAUAUACUAGAAAAAAUUCAGACCGUCACGUUGUCCAAGAGGCAGAAGAAUCCUCGAACACGACUUCCAGUUUGCCCUUAGAUGCAAUGGUGAAAAGACAAAGUGACGGACAGAUACAGUGACAGUAUAUUGCCAUAGUGUGUUAUUAAUUUUUAACUAGGGAGGAAAGAGGGUCUUGCAGUUAAGAUACAUGGACUGAGAUCCAGUAAAUGAGAUUCCAGUUCCUGGCUCUGCCACAGAUUCCAUGAGUGACCCUGGGCAAAUCACUUCAUCUCUUGGUGCCUCAGUUGCUCAUCUGUAAAAUGAGGAACCUUGCCAUGUACCCUAAAGGGCAAAAGACCUGGGCAAAGAGGAAGGGGAAGCAAGUCUAAGGCAUCUCUCGCCUUUCUUCUGUCUUGUCUAUUUAGGCUCUGAUUUAGCAAGAUACUUAAGCAGGUGCUUAACUUUAAGCUCAUGAAUAGAGCUAGCCAAAAAUUUUAACUUUUUCCACCUCUCCUCCCCCCAAAAAAUGCAGCUUUAGGUCAACUGAAGCAUUUUGUGAAUUCAAGUCAAGCAAGCAAACAAAACAAAAAAGUAAAAAACAAAAUCAGAAUAUUUUGUAUUGACAUUUUUCGAUGGGCAUUCUGCCUAAGUCAGGACUGAAAGAUUUCCCCUGAAGUAACAAAUGCCAGAAAUACACAAUUUUGUAUUUUUUUUUUUGUAACUUCCAUUCUUUUGCAGCAUUCUCGCAUAAGGGCAGAGCACCCCUCCCCCACAGAGUAGAAACUCGGUGCUGGCCAUGCAUGUGCCUAGGAGCCCUGUGGCCCGCCCGGGUGAUUUAACAGGGCCUGAGGCUCCCGGCCACCGCUACUGCAGCAGCAGCCCCCCAGGCCCCUUUAAAUCGUCCGGGCCCCUGGGCAAUUUUCCCCUUUGCCCCCCCACAUCGGCAGGCCUGUCUCCCCUACAUCAGAGGCCACCAACACCAUAGAGCACCUGCCCACUCAACCCAGCAACCUCAGCAUCCUCAGUGCUGCAAGAAGCUAGAAGAGUUAAUUAAUGACUAUAACAAGAGAUGGUUUCCAGGAUGUUCCCUAUGGCUUUUCAUUGGCAAGACUAGAGUGGUGUUUUUAAAAAAAGGAAGACUAAACAAUGCUUGACAAACCCCCUUUAAAAAAUGAAAUCAAAAAGUGAACGGUGCUGUAACGUUAUUUUAGGUCAUGCCAUAAGUGUUAAUUUGGGUUCACUGCAUUCCUUGUUCACAGCAUAUUAAAGCAAUCUGUGCCACAACCCUAUGAAUAACGUGCCUGCUGUAUUUAUAGCUGGCAAGGAGGUGAUUUCACUUUAACCAUACAUCUGACAAAAUGAAAACUACUUCAAGAGAAGCAGUGACAAAUUCAAAAUGGGCAACAUCCGCAGUGGGUUUCAAUUAGUGAUUCUUCUUGGGCAAGGAGGGUUUUCUCUCCCCCCCUCUAUCCCUAAAGCUUCCUUGGAAUCCAAUGUGUCACAUGCUUGAGAUCUCCAGAGUGCACACAGUCCGGUGGGGAGCCCUUUAAGAAACCAGUGUGAACAUCCGCCUCCCACAAAAGUGGUGGGAAGAGGAGCGGGUCAUUCUCUCCAGCUGCAAAAAUGAGAGAGAGGACGCCAGGUUGGAGAAGUUCCUUUAAGGGCUAAUUAUGUUGUUUGGUGAGCCCACCAGUACAACAAAUAUGCUGAAGUGAGUAUCUCGCCCUCUGAAAUCACUUAAUGAACCAUCAGCAUUUGUCAACACAACUGCUAAAUAUCCUUUUGAUCAAGUUCAUGCCAAUGUGCUGCAGAGACCAGCAAACGUCCAGCUCAUGGGAAGAGGGGAUAUUAAAGAAGAGUUAGCGGAGAGCGGCGAUGUGUGGGAUAUGAAGGGAUGCUUUCCCCUGUGCGGCACUGCGGAGCAAAUCACAAACUUGCCCAUAGGCCAUAAAGAACUAUCUCCAGAUUACAGCAAGUGACCAUUUCAGAGCCUCAGUCUCCACGCCAGAACCAGCGGCUUUUGCUCAAGCUCUCUCAGCGGCAACACACCUUUUAUCAUAAUCAUCAUGACUAUUAUACCCAGCACCGCGGUGUGUAAGUGACCAGACUUGACGGGGUGUUGCGCUCAUGGCAUUACGGUGCCUCAUCCCCGUUGGGGAGGGCUAAGCACCCGCAGCUCUGGAGGCACAAAGCACCCUGUCUAUGGAGAAGAAUAAGGGGAAUUGUUUUUCUUAAAUGCCUGCAUUAAAAUAAAGCCAUCUCUUCCCCCAAUCCCUACAGACAUCAAACCAUCCAGCUGUGCCAAGCCAGUACAACACCUUUUUUUAUUUUAAGUUGUCGUGUUUAAUUGAGGCUACUUAAAGAUCUUCUAGUCUGCAGUGCGGUCAACUGACAUUCAGGGACCACGCUACACAAAGAAGCAAAAAUAGGCAUAACAAUCUGAAAGCAACUGUGCUCUCUCAUGGUCUUUAAGGGAGCAGCAACAAAAAGGAGGUGAAUGGGCCUAACGCAUUCUGAACGAGAUGGUUCCUCUGGGCAAGGACUGUCCCUUCGUACAGGCCUGAUUCAAAGGCUGCUGUUAUCCGUGGAAAGGCUUCCACUGACUUCAGUGAAAUUUGGAUCAGACCUUAGAUGUGUGUACAGCACCUAGCACAAGUAGGCCCAAACCCAGGUUGGAGCCUUUGGGCCCUAUCACAGUACAAAUAACAUAACAUAAGAACGGCCAUACUGGGUCAGACCAAAGGUCUAUCUAGCCCAGUGUCCUGUCUUCCAACAACAGUCAACGCCAGGGGCCUCAGAGGGAAUGAACAGAACAGGUCAUUGUCACGUGAUCCAUCCCCUGUCGCUCAUUCCCAGCUUCUGGCAAACAAAGGCUAGGGACACCAUCCCUGCCCAUCCUAGCUAAUAGCCAUUGACAUAUAGGCAGAGGUGAAAGUAAGCUGGUAGGCCCCGGUACGGCGUACUGGCCAGAGCCGGUGCGCCGUACCGGGGUGGAUUGGCUUCCCCAGACGCAAUUUAAAGGGCCUGCGACUCCCAGAAGUGGCUGGAGCCCCGGCCCUUUAAAUUGCUGCCAGAGCCCUGGGGUAGCAGUGGUGGGGCUGGGGCGGCGAUUUAAAGGGCCCUGGGUGGUAGCGGCACCAAGCCCUGGGCCCGUUAAAUCAUCCCUGGAGCCCCGCCUCUGCUUCCCCAGGGCUCCGGCAGGCUCCGGGGACGAUUUAAAGAGCCCGGGGUGGUAGUGGCGGCCGGAGCCCUGUGGCCGGAGCCCUGGGGAAGUGGCGGCAGGGCUCCGGGGAUGAUUUAAAGGGCCCAGGGCUCCAUCCGCCGCUACCGCCCAGGGCCCUUUAAACUGCUGCCAAAGCCCCCGGCUGCCGCUGUUAACCCAGGGAGGGGAAAGGAGGCACUUGCCGGUACAGGGUAGGCCGGGGCUGGCUCUGACCUCCCCCAGCCUUGCCCCUUCCGCCCGAGGCCCUGCCCCUUCUGGGGGCCAGAGCCGGCCCCAGCCCAGCCCCGUACCGGUAAGUCUCUAGACUUAUGUUCACCCCUGCAUAUAGGACUAUUCCUUAAGCAGCACCAAGCUGACCACAUCUGGAGGAAACCCCUGUAUGUUCUGUCUAUUUAAGUUGCUCCAAUUUGAUCUUGAAAUGAAAUGCUAGAGAAACCCGAGAGUACUCUGAGGUGGUCUUACUGGAAUAUGAAAACAUUUAAUAUUUUUGUGAUCAGACAACUUUCUCUGGGACACACUCUUGUAGGACACAAAACAACCUACCUAAUCCCUACCAUAAAUCUCACUGAAUCCAUAAACGACCCUAACCUGUAGCUGCAAAAUGCUUGGGUUUCUAUGCUUUUUGUAAAGGUUGGAUUUGUGCUUCUUGAUCUUCCAGUCAUCAUACAUAUAGAGCAAUGUGCUGACAGAUGCGGGGGCUGACCUAGAUGGUGAAUCAUGGCAGAAGACACUAGGUAAGGAAGCAGAAGACACAAGUCAGCUCCAAAAAAUGGAAACUUGUAGGGGAGGAUGAUAUUAAGUAUGAGGUUAGAAGAUAGCAAGGAAUCUUCUGUUGAGAUUUGUUCAGGAGGAAACAACAGAAAAGACAACAGUCGAAGAAGAUUGGGAGUGGCUGUGUCCAGGCACAAUGGAAGCCCAGAAAAAAUAUUUGAUAGGGAACAGAAAUGUUACACAGGGUUGGUCUACACUACACAGUUAGGUUGAGAUAAGGCAACCUAAUUAUGUCAGCGUACACACUACAGCCUCGUCCUGCCAAUGUAACUGCCCUACUACACCGUCAUAACAACUCCACUUCCAGGAGUGGCGUAGGGCUUAUGUGGGUGUAGUUAGGGCCAGCAGUGUCUGUGUAGACACUGUGUUACUUGCAUCAACUGUUGGCUGGCUUGUCAAUUUCACGGUCCCUUGCUGGAGCCAUGACAUUGAUAAAAAAGCCAAACAGUUAGAGCCUGGCUGCCCCCGUCUCCCCACUCCCAGCCAGGCUGCUGCCCGGAGACUCCCCACUCAAGGAGCUAAGGAGCUCAGGCGGCUGUCCCCCGCCUCCCAGCUGGGAACAGGGAACUGAGAGCCGGCGGCAGGGCGGGGAAGGAGGGAAAGCUGGGAUCCUGGAAGGGAGCUGUGCGGAGGGUUCUCAGCACCCCCCCGGCCCCCCACUGCCGCUCUUCAGGUGGUGGAAGCGCUCCUGGUGAGGAUGCACACCACCAACAGGAGGAGGGUAGUGUGGACAUCAGCCACUGUAGUACCAGAGAUCAGCUUAUGGUGUAGCGUAGACAUGCCCAUAAGCCCAGAUUUUUGAAAGUAUUUAGGUGUUGCUGCACUCAGCAUUGCAGUACCUAAGUCUCAUUUUCAAAAUUAGGGCAUCUAUUUGGCUGCCCAAAGACAUCUCACCACCUAUCAUCAGUUGAAAUCAAUGAGUUUUAGGUGCCUAGAGGCUUUUUGGAAAAUCCCACGAGGCGCCUAAACACUUUUUAGAAUCUGGCCCUAAAUCCCCCUUUUGAACAUUUCCGUUAGCUAAAGUCUUGUGAUAAUAAUGAUUGAUAAACAAGGAGGCCUGCUUGCCAAAAUCACACAGUAGAUCAUGUUGAAAAUGAUAACACGGUUCUAGAGUUCUCUCAAAUACAGUUCAUGAGUCAAAUUCAACACUGACUUAUAGUCACGGAGCUGCCUGGCAGAGGGAUGUCGCAACUGAAACCAAGGGGAUGGCAUUGGGUAAAAUAACUGCUUCAUUUGACCCUUUGUGUUUUCUAAUCAGAAGAGAAGGGAGCAGGUUGUGAAGCCUGUGAUAAGUAAUUUCUUCAUUAUACAGAUAUCAUAUCAAUGUACAGCUGUGCUAUCUAUUAGGGUACACUGUAAUGCAAUCAUUUAUUUUCUUGAGAAAACAUAUACCCUGAUUAUUUACCCUCUAAUCACUGUAUGCCAGUAGUUGGAAGUGCUCAGUUUUAACAGGAUUGUUUGCAGUGUUGUUGUAGACCCCUUAUUUCGCAAACCAAAGUCUAGAUUAUUGGAAGGCUUUUGAUAAACUGUACACAGCCUUUCAGAUGUUGUUCUGCAAAUGCAGUUAUAGGACUCAAGGCCCAGACUGAUCUGCCCAUGUGGAUCCAAUGGCAGAAUGAGGGCCACUGUCUCUCCUGCAAGUAUUUGACAUAACCCCCAUUAAAAUCACUGAGUACAAUACUCAUGCAGUGAGGGUAUAAGAGACCCACCUCAAUAACUACAGAGAUAUUACUAGUAGGUACCCUAUGAUUUGCUUACUCUUUCAAAGAACUGGCUUUCACAACUCUAGUGCCCAAUUUGCCAAGACCUCUGUGUAAGAAACUCGCAUCAGCUUCAGUGGGGAUUCUAUACUCAGGAGGAUGAAAUUCUGAUCCCAUUAAAGUCAAAGGAGAAACUCCCAUGGACUUCAAUUGGAUCAGGAUUUCACCCAGACAGCUUUUGGAUAAAUGGAUUCAAGGUUCUGAGUGUACUGAUUCUUGGCAACCUAGUUUUUAAAAGUGUGCGAAUGUUCCCUUUCACCAUUUGCAUGUACAUAAAAAGUUGUUCUUUGUCACCCAACUUAAUUAUGCACGUGAAUUUUACGAAAGUAUUAGUUCUCUCCAGUAACAGUCUUUAUAUGUAAGUGUCCUAAAAGCAGGUCUAUCAGAUGGAUUAUGAUUCCCCCAGGGCUUGAACACUAAAUGUUCUUGAAUAAAU